rnacentral:rRNA from 1 species
CGAACAGGUGAGUAACGCGUGAGGAACCUGCCUCAAAGAGGGGGACAACAGUUGGAAACGACUGCUAAUACCGCAUAAGCCCACGGCUCGGCAUCGAGCAGAGGGAAAAGGAGCAAUCCGCUUUGAGAUGGCCUCGCGUCCGAUUAGCUAGUUGGUGAGGUAACGGCCCACCAAGGCGACGAUCGGUAGCCGGACUGGGAGGUUGAACGGCCACAUUGGGACUGAGACACGGCCCAG